CAGCCGCCACGGGAAUACGUAGGGUGCAAGCGUUAAUCGGAAUUACUGGGCGUAAAGCGUGCGCAGGCGGUUAUAUAAGACAGAUGUGAAAUCCCCGGGCUCAACCUGGGAACUGCAUUUGUGACUGUAUAGCUAGAGUACGGCAGAGGGGGAUGGAAUUCCGCGUGUAGCAGUGAAAUGCGUAGAUAUGCGGAGGAACACCGAUGGCGAAGGCAAUCCCCUGGGCCUGUACUGACGCUCAUGCACGAAAGCGUGGUGAGCAAACAGGAUUAGAUACCCGAGUAGUCCCUGUCUCUUAUAA
rnacentral:rRNA from 1 species